UGAUAUUUGUCUCUUGUUAAUUUUUAUUAAUUUGUACAAAUAAAUUUGCAGGUCCUCAAUGCUGCAGCAGCUCUCUUGGUCAGUGGUUAUGUGAGAAACCUAGCUGAUGGGGUAGCUAUGGCACGCGAAACACAACAAUCAGGAAAGGCUCUUAAGACUCUCAACUUGUGGAAGGAUGUUUCAAAUGUAAGUUAAAUAUAAUCCUACAUCUACUACUUUCAUUCCAAUAAAAAAAUAAUUCAGUGCACGAGACUCAUACUUUGUGAGGUUUGGGGAGAGGGUACAUUUACACAUUUUUACCCCUCAAGUUAAGAGUCUAUUUUAAGGACUAUUUUCAUUCCAAUCUAGUAUUCUAAUUUUCAUUGGUCUUCUCUAUUCAACUAUUGCAGACAAUUCAAGAUGAUGCCUGAAUCAGAUUUGAGUUUUAUAAACUUAGUUACUGGAGCUAGAGGAAGGGACUUGGAAGGCCUGUUACUCAUAUUCUGCAUGAGUGAUUGAGGAGAUUUACAACAAUAAUAUGAUUUAUUUUUUGUUGUAUAAGUUUGUAUCCUUAGUUUAUGGUAAUUUAUUUGCUAGAGAUUAAAACCCAGAUGUUACUCUAGGGAAAGAAAUAUUUUAUUGUAGGAUUCUAAACAUUUGAAGUUAAGAUUGGGUGUAAAUGUCUAAAAUACUAAGGGAAGAAAACCAAAUUGAGUAGUUGUUGGUUAUUUUCAAAUGAAAAAAAAGGUCUAGCAUUAGAUAAAGGAAAUACAAUAGUGUUUAUAAGUAAGAGAUGCACUACUUAGAGUGUCUGAAGAGAUUUAUAGUUGGAGAAGACACAUACCACAUAACCACCGUACAUAUACUACAUUAGCUAUGUGGUAUAUUUCUUCUUAUUAAAAAUGGAAUUAUUUUUAACAAGAAAAAAUAAUGUUUCUAGAAACAUGGCUGACAAGCAAAAUGGAUAAACACAACUGACAAUAGAUAAGUUUUCAUUCAGUUAUGAAUAAGCCAUCUUAACUUAUAAACAGAGGCUUCCUCACUAACGAAUGAAUUAUUAGUUCUAGUUCUGCCAGCUUUAAUAUCAACAAAAAAAUUUCAAUUUGAAAUAUAUCAUUUCAAACGAAUAGUGGACUUUGGCAUUCCUCGGUGCACUCUUGAAAGCCUAAAAGGCGGUGGCCCAGAAUACAAUGCAGAGGUUCUGAAGCGUGUUCUAGCUGGAGAGAGAGGGCCUAUUGCUGAUGCUUUGGUAAGUGUCUUUAGUUUUCUAAUCUUGAAGUAGCUGACAGGGUAAUGUCUAAGUGAUGGUAAUCAUUGGCUCUGGAAAGAAAAACAGAGAAUUUGUUUGUGCAAAUUAUUUUUAAAUCUAGGUAGGAGCUUUUGAAAUUUUGGUUAAGAUGGUUCGUUCCAUUCUAUAUUCGUGCGAGCUCAUUACCUGUGCAGAUUAUUUUGAUUUUAAUCCCCUUAUUUUGGUUAACAUGAUUUGUUACUUCUCUUGCAAUUUUUGUCACUGAAAUUUUAUAUAAUGUAUGUUAUUUUGAUAUUUGUCUCUUGUUAAUUUUUAUUAAUUUGUACAAAUAAAUUUGCAGGUCCUCAAUGCUGCAGCAGCUCUCUUGGUCAGUGGUUAUGUGAGAAACCUAGCUGAUGGGGUAGCUAUGGCACGCGAAACACAACAAUCAGGAAAGGCUCUUAAGACUCUCAACUUGUGGAAGGAUGUUUCAAAUGUAAGUUAAAUAUAAUCCUACA
rnacentral:lncRNA from 1 species